rnacentral:rRNA from 1 species
ACGGAGGGUGCAAGCGUUGUUCGGAAUUACUGGGCGUAAAGAGCGUGUAGGUGGCUAAAUAAGUCAGGUGUGAAAUCCUUCCGCUUAACGGGAGAAGUGCACUUGAAACUGUUUAGCUAGAGUACGAGAGAGGAAGGUGGAAUUCCUGGUGUAGAGGUGAAAUUCAUAGAUAUCGGGAAGAACACCGGUGGCGAAGGCGGCCUUCUGGCUCGAUACUGACGCUGAGACGCGAAAGCGUGGGGAGCAAACAG